rnacentral:rRNA from 1 species
GGGUCAGUAGGUUGGUCGUGCCACCGGUACGUACUGGUCUCACUGAUUCCUCCUUCCUGAAUAACCGUAAUGCCAUUAAUUUGGUGUUGCGGGGAAACAGGACUUUUACUUUGAAAAAAUUAGAGUGUUUAAAGCAAGCUAACGCUUGAAUACAUUAGCAUGGAAUAAUGAAAUAGGACGAUCGAUCCUAUUUUGUUGGUUUCUAGGAUUGACGUA